UGAACCUUUCGACUCCCCCGUUCCCCAUCGGAUGGUAGGGAGUUGUGUGUGACUUCUGGACUCCUGCAGCACUCAACAACUCAGCAAUCAAUUUACUUUCAAAGUUGGCCCCUUGGUCAGAGUGGAUACGACGAGGAAAACCAUACACACAGAAGAUGUUGUUCCAUAGCUGAAGGGCCACUGCUUUAGCUGAUUGGUUCGGACACAAGAAGGCAUGGGCCAUCUUAGUAAAAUGAUCAGUGACGACCAGGACAUCCAAGGACUUGUUGUUGGAGUCUUCAGCAGACCAGAAGUCCACGCACACCAACUCGAGGGGCUCAGUCGUGAUGAUGUUCUCCAGUGGAGCUCUGGCCUCUGGCUCGGGGGCCUUACUGAACACACACCUCUUGCAGGUCUUGACAUACUCUCUGACAUCCGACUCCAGACCAUGCCAGAAGAACCUCUGUCUCGUCAAGUACAACGUCCGCUGUUGCCCCUGAUGACCGGCUUCAUCGUGGACACCCUUCAAAACUGUCGCCCUCAUUGAGGUGGGUACUACAUACUGGUACGUCUUCUUCUUUGACAGCAAACCUUUGGUAACGCGAUACAGUACACCCAUUUUCAGAGUGAGCUUCUCCCAGGUCUUCAGAAUCCGCAGAGCCUCGAGUGGUUCAUGGCCACGUUCCCUCCUAGAAGGUCUACGGCCCCUGUGCACGCAGAAGACAACUCUGGCGAGAGCGUCAUCCUGGCGCUGCUUUGAUAUCAGGUCAUCACGGGUUAGCACUCUCACAUCUGACAUCUCAGACGGCACCAGUGACUGAGUGAGCUGAGGCAGUAGCAGCGCACAGUUCUGUAAACCAGCCUCCCCUUGCGACCUCAGGACUGCUGACACCGCUUCCUUUGACAGAGAACCAGGAGAAGGAUAGGAGGUAGUCUGGCAGUCCAUGACAAUUUCACAGGCAUCUGCCUCAAUUGACGGUGAGCAGCUUUCAAGGUCGAAUGGGUGGGUCGACCAGCGGAACACAUCUUGCACCUUCUCAGCACGUACUCCCGCAGCUUCUUCCAGCAAGGCCUUGUAUGGAACCCUUGUGAUGCGGUGGAGAGCGCUCGGCUGCACAAAUGGCUGUCUACUGAGUGCAUCAGCAAUGACAUUUUUGGGACCGGGAAUGUACUUGAUGUCAAACUCGAAUGGAGCAAGUUUAGCAACCCAUCUCUGUUCACAGGCGUCCAAUUUGGGCUUGGACAGGAUGUACGUUAAUGGGUUGUUGUCUGUCCAUACAGUAAAAGGCUUGCCCCUUAGCCAAUGACUAAAUUUCUCACAGACAGCCCACCGUAAAGCAAAAAACUCUAACCUAUGGGCAGGAUACUUUGACUGUGCAUAAGUAAGUGAUUUGCUAGCGAAUGCUACCGGUCUGGCUGCAGACCCAUCCUCUGGCAUCUGGGAAAGGACAGCACCUAAUCCAUUACUAGAUGCGUCUACAGACAGCAAGAAAGGUCUACUAAAAUCAGGGUGGGCUAGCAUGACCUGAUCGAGGAGAGCUUGUUUCAACUGACUAAAGGCCUGUUUGCACUCACCAGUCCAGUCUGCUGCUGUGAGUUUCCUAUGUAUUCCUCUUUUCCUCUUGCCUUUCGCGUGGCGUGGUGCCUUCGUCCCCGUUGUCAGCCCAUGCAGCGGCUUAGCGAUGGUGGAGCACCCCUCAAUGAACUGCUGGUAAUAGACUAUCAUUCCGAGAAAGGACCGAAUCUUCCCCUGGGAAGGCACGUCCGUGUUAUCCUCCAUGAGAUCCUUCUCUGUCAUCCCUGUAAUAGCCGUCACUUUUUCUGGGUCUGUGGCCACACCUCCUUCACUGAUGACAUGCCCCAAGAACCGCACUGACCUCUUCAUGAAAUGGCAUUUCUUUGGAGACAAUUUCAGAUUAUGGGCUUUGAGACGCUCAAAAACUGACUCCAAGCGUUGCAAUCCAAGUUCUUCAGUCGGGGCAAAAACCAGCACAUCGUCCAGGUAGCAUAAGAGGCUAGAAAAAUGUUGAUCCCCAAAAAUGCUCAACAUCAUCCUCAUGAAUGUAGCUGGGCUGUUACACAGUCCUUGUGGAAGACGGUUAUAUUCAUAUAACCCAAAAGGAGAAGUGAAGGCUGUAAACUUCUUGUCGUCUUCAUGCACCUCCACAUUGUAGUAGCCGGAGGUCAAAUCCAUUGUAGAGAAGAAAGCAUUGCCACCCAGGGCCGCCAGAGCAUCAGCUUGGUGAGGUAGAGGGUGAGCAUCCUUUACGGUGCGAGCAUUGAGCCAUCGGAAGUCUGUACAGUCUCAGAUCACCAGACUUCUUCCAGACCAGGACGAGUGGGGAGGCAUACUCACUGCUGGAUUUCCUGAUUAUCUCUCGCUCUUCCAUCUCAUCCAAGGCCUGCCUGAGCUUGUCAUAAUGGUUAGGGGAGAGCCUACGGUAAGGUAGCCUAAAAGGCUUAGUGUCACUGAGUCUGAUGCGAUGGACAUAUCCCGUAGCCUUCCUGCAAUCUAGUUUGUGCCGGGAGAAGAUAGACUCGUAGCGGGCUAUAAGCUGAACUAGCCUGGCCUUACACUGUUGCGACAACUGAGUGGACUCAAUGUCAAUGUCACCUAACCCUAACUCGUGCAACACCUCACUUGUCACUCUGUGCGGGUUGACGGUACUGUCAACGGUCAAGCUAUCUCCACUACCAUUGUCAAAGUCUGGAUUGUCAUCCAUUUUGUGUACCUGCUGCACCAGGGGGACCGGUUUGACAGUGGGCCCAUCCAUAUAGUCAGUGUCAAAGUCCUCUAAUGCCAUGCAAGGAAAAACAUCCGCUAUCUUGGCAUUCCGUCUCACCGUUACUGGCUUUGGAGAGGGAUUGAUAACUUUGACAGGGACCCAGCCAUCGCUCCACAAUGUCGCUACUGUUCUCCCC
rnacentral:lncRNA from 1 species